GCCAAUCCCUCGUGCUCCUCGAGCCCCGCGUCCAUCCUCCUCCCUCGCUCUCCACUCCCCACCCUCCCCCGCGCAGCCGCCGCCUCUCCCCUGCCCUCCUCAUCUAGAGCCCUUCCCAGCCGACGGAGGAGCCCCCUUCCCAGCCCUGCGUCGGAGUUCAGAGGCAGGGGAGGUGUGGAUCGAUGAUGGUGCAGCAAAGAAGAGGAUGUGAGAUCGAGGAGGGAGCGAGCCGUUGCAGAGGAGAUGGGAGAAGGGGGUGCGCGGUGGUGAGGCAUCGGCACCGGAGAAGCAGAUCCGUGGUGCGCGGUGAAGCGGGAUACGUGACGCCGGCCGGCGCUCGCGGGUACGUCCUGCAGGAUGACGCCGCAGCUCCAGUCUUCUCCUCACGGUGGUCCAUGGCGCUAUCACUGUCGUCCUCAGCAGGAGGACCGCGGGACGCAGAGGCGGCCGGCUCCAUCCUGCUCUUGUGCGGCCGUACCUCUGCCUUUCUCGUCCGCCGCGCCCCAGGCUAGUAGGUGGACGGCGCGGAGAGUUCUUGUCACAAGACGCAGGAGGAUGGCUCUCGCCGACGCCACGCUAUGCUCCUCUCGCCUCUGCCGCACUCUGCUCCGGCUUGCCACCGAAAAGGCUGUGCUUUCGGUCCAAGGAGCCGAUGGGUCGCCGGAUCCGUCGGCCACCCAUGGACUUCGCCUGGAACGCGGGCUGGGAGGCGGCGCUGCCAGCCUGCAACGCCAACCCCGAUCCCGACCAACCCGGCGCCGCAGGGGGUGGAGGCGGAGUCCAUGAUGCUGGUCUCCGGGCCGCGCGUCGCCGUCUCCGGGCUGAGGCGAGCCGACUGCUGCGCAGUGCCUGCUCUCAUGAAGAUGAAUGUGUCCUGUUCGUCAAUGCCGGUGGGUAUAUUUGAAAAAAUUGCAAAGGAAGCAGAAGACAAUGUGCUCCUGAGAGAGAUGCACAAUAUUCAAUACCCUUAUGUCCCGCACAAUGCACCGCACAAGGUCCUUGCUCCCUUCCUUGCUGCAGUGAGGAGACGAGAGAGGAGAUUGCUGGAUCUGGAAAUGGAGGUCAGCACCACCUACAGGACAAGAGUGCUGCUCCUCUCCGACUCUUCAAGGCCUCUCAUGCUCUGCUCUUGCUCAGGCUGAAUUAGAAGGUUAGGUGUGACAAAAAAACUGAAACUUAUCUCCUAAUAUCCCUCCAUUUUUGCAAAAUCAAAUUUGUGUCAGCUAUAUGACCCAUGAUCAUACACUUGUUUCAAAUAAUCAUACGCUUAUCAAUUUCCACGGACAGGUUAAUGGUGUAUACCUGCUUCUGAGCUGCCAUGCAAAGACUCUGUUAUCUCUUGAAUUUAUCCACUGCCAACUUUAUCCUGCAGGCAUGGAUAAAGUUUGCAUUAGUCUUUGCCAGCCAGGUUCCCAAAACUACAAGUUCCAGUCCUUUUAUUCUGCCUUGGUCAUAAUGUUAAUUUUUCUGCCAUAUGUUAAAUUUGUUGUCAUAUGUAGGCCAUCAGAUAACUUGUGUAUGUUCAUCUAGCUGCAAAAGAAACUUAUGACUUGUGUCAUCGGUAAAAAAACAGUAGACCUGUUUACAAUUGAAAGGACCAGGCACUGCCAUUUUCUUGCUGUGUUAUACUCUCAAUGAAUCUUAAUUAUUUCUGAUAUGUUUCAGUUAUUUUAUUUCAACAAAUGACAAGACUAAUCUGUCAUUCACAAUGUUUUUGCAGCUAGCAUUAAAAGCUGGUGUGUUUUAUGACAGAGUGACAAAUAUGACUAUUUGGGGAAACCAUUCAACAACUCAGGUUCCUAAUUUCUUGAAUGCCAAAAUUAAUGGGAGGCCAGUAAAAGAAGUCAUCAAAGAUAAAAAGUGGCUAGAAGAGGAUUUUCCUACAACUGUUCAAAAGGUACACGGAGAAGGUUGUGGUGCCGGCGAGGCUGUUGCUCCCGGUGUCAGAGAGGGUAUCGCUGACCGAUGCCGCCGGCUUGCCCAAGGUGUCCUGCACGUCUUCAUGACCAGCCAUCUCCCCAGGUUUAUUGGUUCAGAUAGAUACAGUAUAUAUGGUACAAAGAUGUUUUCCGAAAGCAACUCUGUUAUGCCGCUCCAGAAAGCCAAAGAGGAACUAACUGCUUGCGACGUUUAAGGUGUGGACAUAUGCAGAAACUACAAAACCUUUGUAGCACGUAUCGAAGAAGAAACUAAUGGAAAUGGUAUUAUCCUGCCAUCCUCUUGUGACGCUUGAUGCCCUGAUGCAAAAGUAAAAUAAAAUUAUUUCGCUUUACCAAGUUAUACCCGUCAAUUUCAUAUACAUUCUAACUGUAAUAUGUGGAAUAGCUCUACCAAACCUUGUUGUCAUUCUGUACAACGUAGGCAUAUCUUAUCUCCAAGGCAAUCUGGAUAGCUUAGCAGUUGAUGGUAGACUUUUCAUCGUUGGUUUCAUGUGAGGCACUGUAAUUGAAGUGAACCUGCAGGCGAUGCUUGCCCGAAGACCGACUGUACAAGGUUGUAUCGAUCUAUCUAUAUACAACCAUGCCUCUUUCAGUUUUAUGUGUUUUUUCCUGGUAACACAUCUUACUCUCUGAACACAAUGCUCAUAGGACUGUUGAUGCUUUUCUACUGUUAGAAUUUCAUGCUUUGUUUUUCGGCAACUGAUUAUGUAGUGCUAUGAUGUAGCUUUGUGUCUUCUAAAUUAUUUUUUACUCUCAAAUAAUUUAUUAGACAAUGGAAGAGCUAAGUGGUACUUUUGUGUAGACUUACCUCCAUUCACCUGAUUCCUAUUUCACCAUCUCGCACAAUGUAUUCAGAGAGAUGCUGCCACUUGUGAUACAUCUGUGUGAAGCCAGAUCCAGAAUGAGUCGACAGAGUUGGGAGUAGCGAUACAACAUCUGGGGGCUAUGCUUUUUGAGCUUGGACGGACAAUGAUGACGCUUAGAAUGGGGCCAUCUCCUGCUAAUGCUUUUGUAAAUGCUGGGCAUGCUGUUUAUACAAACCCCACUGGACCAAGUCCAAUCAUAGUUCAGAAUACCUGUAUAGCUUUGCUUUCCUAUCAUGAACUGCUGACAACUUUGUUUUGGGCUAUCAUGCUAGCAUGCACUGUAACAUAUAUCACUGUGUAUUAACAUGCUACCUAAGUAUCUAUUUCUUUAUACUUUAUUAUCAGUCCUUAAACAAAUUUUACGUGCAUGAUUUGAAUGCUUGGUUUACUGUCGCCCUUUGUACCAUCGGCGCAACGAGUGAUUAGCUGCUUUUUAUGUGUGAGAAUGUUAGGAAUGUUUCUAUAUGUGCCCAGAUUUAUUUGGUGUGCCUGCUAUGUUUCACUUUCACUGCUCUUUGUUGAAUAAAUUGAGAAAUUCUUGAUUCUUUUUAUGUUAUUUCUUUACAUGAAGGAUCCAGAUUAAAAUAUAAUAUGUUAUUCUUGCUGGCUUAGUUUAAACAAAUGCAUUUUAGAUCACCUACUUCUCAGUUCAUGAUUUUUGACUCUGGUGUGUUGCAGUUGAUUACCGGAACACGCUCACCCAAAGUGUCGAUCUGCAUCCAUACAUAAUUUACUAAAAGAAAUUUUUUGAGUUGUUUCUGCAUAUGCCUUUUGGUAUUUACUAGGUCACCUUCAAGAUUCGCUAACUAACAUACAUAUCCUAUCUACGCUUUUCACAUCCAUAUAAUGAUGCCAUGUUUUUCCUAUUGAGUAGACGAUUCUUUAUUUAUUAACCUAUACAUCAAUAUGUUGUUUCCAUUGAUCUCAUAGUACUUUUUGUGUGUUUCUUUAUGUUGGGCUGAAAACUUAUUGUCGGUUCAAGCUAUUUUUUAAGUCAUGUAUACUAUGGAAGUUGUGUAAAAGAACAUUUACUAAAAUGUUAUGUAAAACCUAUGGCUCAAAGCUAAGCUUCGGUAAAUUGGAAUAUUUAGAGAUAUAUUUGGGAGUUUCAUUAGAUUAAUUUGGAAUUUCAAACUAAUCCAUUUAAUUAUUUGAGAGCACUAGCAACACAAUUUUUGAAAAAAAAAACAUGCCCACCAAACGAAGGGCAUGGGUAUGUUGUCCAUGUAUGCAAAUCUCUAGGAAUGAGAAACCCUCAAGAACUACUAGGAAGGAGAAAGCCCUCCACGUCUCCCAGCCUGACUAUGCCUCCGUACGUUCCCUCUUUCGAUCUGUCUCUCCCCUUCCGGUCCGUUCCGUUCCCCCCUCACGGCGCCCGUGUUUGUGUCUCCUGGCCUGACGUAUGUGCGUGUGUGGUUCUUCUGCAGCUCGCGCCGAGGAUUGCUGUGUCCAAGUGGAAACAGUCUAUGUGGCGCUCGUAGGUAGAAAGGUGCAGGAAAGAAUAGGGAAACUUCUGUCAUUUUCUUUGGUCUCUGAAAAAUAAAUGGUGAUAUGGGCUGAUGCAUUGCUAAAUUACAUGAUACAAAUUCACUUCUCUUUUUUGAUUUUUGGUUUACUUCGUUGUGCUACAAUGGCUCUCCUAGGAAUGUUCUUCCAUGCUUUGAUGUGCACAAUCGAGAAAGUGCAUGCAUCCAGAAACCAAAUAGGAUUUUUUUUAUGUGUUAUCUUCUCAUAAAUCUUGUGCUCGUCCAAUAAGAAUAAGGUUUGGUGGUAUUGCUUUUGUCUAUCACUCGGUAGAUUUCAGACUUCAAGCUAGCUGCAGUUAUUUCAGGUUAUAUGUGCAAAUCCUUGGUGUGGCAUCAUUGGUAACUGAUCAUGAAUACAUUGCAAUCUGAUAUGUCUAUUCUUGAUUUGUGGUGCCAUGGUGUAAAAAUUGGUCCUAAAGAUACAUGAUGUUUUGGUACAAAGUUGAGACAGUUAUUUUUGAAGGAGGGAAUAUUAGAUUAUUUUGUUCCUUUUUAAUUUGGUUCUAAAGAUAUAGUUUUAGAGUGAUCAUUUUGCAUCAGCCAAGCUUGCCGUUGUUGUAAAUAAUUGUGCUGUUGUCCUCAAUUCACUUUCGGUUUUUUAAUGCUACAAGCGUUAUUGUUCCAGUUUUUUCAGUUAUUGAUCAUGCCAUUAUUCUUUCCGCCUUUGUAGCUGAAAGAUUAGUGAGACUGAGUAAAUUUUGAACAUGUUCCAUGUGAGAGAAAUAGCAUGUUGAUUUCAUCUUAAAAUAAUCAUAGCUGAGGGAUGAGAUUUGUAACUGAGGGUCAUGUGCAGAGCUGGAGGAAGAAGUUGCGAGGCUUGGAACUCUCCUUGUGAAGGGCUCAGGGACAGCAGUGAGGACUAUGCCUCUUUAGUUGUAAUUGUGAUACUCCUGAUGUGCAAGUAAACACUCCUGUGAUACUCCUUAUGCUAAAAUGUUGGUUGUUAGUACA